UUUAGACCUGGGACACCAGGUGUGUGCAAUUAAUGAUUAGGUGGACCAGAAAAUCAGCAGGCUCCGGAUCUUGAAGGGAAGCAGUUUAAUUCCCCUGGCAACUAUUACCUGACAACUCUGCCAUGUUACAAGUGUGAAGCAUCCAAGGGCACGCUGUUUCACAGCUUCACCUUAAGCCCUAAAACAGCCUCUUGUCUGGAGGUUUUGGGACCCUCCCCAGGGUGUUCAGAGACCCAGCUGAUGACCUGUUGGCUCAGACUCUCAAGGAAGACCUUUUUCUAAUCUGCCUAUUGAAAGCCAAACAUGAUGUCUCCGUCACAGAAACCGCCCUCUGCCCAGAACCUUGACUGUCCUGUUUUAAAGCUUGAUGUUUCUAUCACCGAGACCAUCUCUUCUCACCCUGACUCACCAGAGCAUCAGUGUGGAAUUACAAGGCAGCCACCAAUCAAUCACACCGUGUCAAAAGCUGAAUGCAUUUUCUUCUAAGACAAACAGUCUCAGGGAUUCCUGGCUUAAGUCCCCCCAGCAGUUAUCCCUCAUAAGCUUCUGGAGAUGAGGUGGAUAAUCGGCACGUACAGACCACCAAAAACAACUUAAGGCCACCGACAUUUAGAAGAAAUGGAUCAUGCAUGAGGUGUAAAUAUUGCGUAAAUAUUUAUUCAUCCAAUCUGUAAGCAGAUCUUUCUUGGUAAUGGGAUAAACAUGAUUGUGAGUCGUGUAGUUUUACAAUGUAACUUAGUUUGCCAACUUGACAACUAUUGUUGCAUCUAGUCAACCUGGCACUCUGCCCCCCAACCUGGCAAUUUGACCUUGGUUAUCUAACUUUUUCACAGACUGCCGUUUUGAUGGUCAUGAUGCAACGGUAUGCCAGAUUAAAACAUUCUACACCGUGCAUGUGGGCAUGGACUUUCUUUAUAGAAUUUCUAAAGUUGUGUGUUGAUGACAGCAAGGUUUCUGUAAGACUGGAUUCUAAAAGUGGGAAACCUUUAUUUUCCAUUUCUGCUAGAAAAAAAGCUGCAAAAGAUGACUGAGAAUUGAUUUAGGGUAAAAUUCCCAUUUGAUUAUGAUUGAUUUCUAAAGCUGUGCUUCUUAAUGUUUCUGUAAAAUCAGAUUCUAAAAUGGUGGAAAACAAAAAUGUUACUUUGCUCCUUGGUCUAGGAAAAAGCUGUAUAAGCUGUUUUAACUGUAGGGGAGUAUAUAUGGCUUUCUGAGUAUCUGUUCUGUUACACAUUCUGUAAACACAAACCCUAAUAAAGUUGUUGAACCAUUCAAUUCUUGUAUUUGUGGCCAGCACUUGAACUGAAAAAAGACACGAACACCCC
ensembl:lncRNA